rnacentral:rRNA from 1 species
AUUGAACGCUGGCGGCAGGCCUAACACAUGCAAGUCGAACGGUAACAGGAAACAGCUUGCUGUUUCGCUGACGAGUGGCGGACGGGUGAGUAAUGUCUGGGAAACUGCCUGAUGGAGGGGGAUAACUACUGGAAACGGUAGCUAAUACCGCAUAACGUCGCAAGACCAAAGAGGGGGACCCUCGGGGCCUCUUGCCAUCGGAUGUGCCCAGAUGGGAUUAGCUUGUUGGUGGGGUAACGGCUCACCAAGGCGACGAUCCCUAGCUGGUCUGAGAGGAUGACCAGCCACACUGGAACUGAGACACGGUCCAGACUCCUACGGGUGGCAGCAGUGGGGAUAUUAGCACAAUGGGCGCAAGCCUGAUGCAGCCAU